UUGCUUUGGUGGAUUAGUGGCGAACGGGUGAGUAACACGUGAGUAACCUGCCCCCGACUCUGGGAUAAGCCCGGGAAACUGGGUCUAAUACCGGAUAUGACCAUGGAACGCAUGUUUUGUGGUGGAAAGAUUUAUCGGUGGGGGAUGGACUCGCGGCCUAUCAGCUUGUUGGUGAGGUAAUGGCUCACCAAGGCGACGACGGGUAGCCGGCCUGAGAGGGUGACCGGCCACACUGGGACUGAGACACGGCCCAGACUCCUACGGGAGGCAGCAGUGGGGAAUAUUGCACAAUGGGCGAAAGCCUGAUGCAGCGACGCCGCGUGAGGGAUGACGGCCUUCGGGUUGUAAACCUCUUUCAGUAGGGAAGAAGCGAAAGUGACGGUACCUGCAGAAGAAGCGCCGGCUAACUACGUGCCAGCAGCCGCGGUAAUACGUAGGGCGCAAGCGUUAUCCGGAUUUAUUGGGCGUAAAGAGCUCGUAGGCGGUUUGUCGCGUCUGCCGUGAAAGUCCGAGGCUCAACCUCGGAUCUGCGGUGGGUACGGGCAGGCUAGAGUGAUGUAGGGGAGACUGGAAUUCCUGGUGUAGCGGUGAAAUGCGCAGAUAUCAGGAGGAACACCGAUGGCGAAGGCAGGUCUCUGGGCAUUUACUGACGCUGAGGAGCGAAAGCAUGGGGAGCGAACAGGAUUAGAUACCCUGGUAGUCCAUGCCGUAA
rnacentral:rRNA from 1 species